ensembl:lncRNA
CAUAUUUGAGCGAGGAGAAAUGGGAAGUUCGCUCUUUUUCCCCUCGGCUCCUGCUCCAGCGCCAUGAUGUGAUCCACUGACAAGGAGGGACGCCAAUAAGAAAAUGAAAAGCUGUGGAUUCCUUCCAGACUAUUAUGGUUUGAUCAAACAAGACCCCCUGAAGCUGAGACGAUACAGCCUUACUGACUACAAAAACAAGGACUUGGUCAGGUUUCUAUGUUUUAUCAUGAUCCCCAUGGUAUAUGAACAUCGCCCCCAAUCAGCAGGAAGCAGUUUAGAAAGAACGACGCCCAUAUUCCCAAAUAUUGUUUAUAAAAGUUUGUUUUCAUUUAAAUGGGGUUAGAUAUAAAUGAUAAGGAGCAUAGUCAAUUUUUUUAAAGAAAAAAGGGGAAUAGGAUAUAGGAAUUAAUACUUUGCAUUGGUAUAGAUUUUCAUUUAUUGAUACAACUUUAAGGUCAAUUUUGUGAUAUGUAUACGUCUCCUCUUGUUUAGGUAUUCUGUUUAUACAGAUCUUUUACCUAUAAUAGUCAGAACUUAUAAUUAGGUUAGUUAGGUUUUCUAGAUUUACAGAGAUGUAUUUGAAACGGAUAGAUGUAUUCAAACCUUUCAAAGACCUACAGAAAAAGGCAUUUAAAUGGUUUAGGGCUUUUCUUGGCAGUGAGACACAACUGCUCCUGGCACACCAAUUACGUCAGAAAGGAGGAUGGGCUUCGAAGAAACUUGUUAUGGAAUUUGCUUUCAACAUGACAAGAUUAGCCAUUUGGACAAGAAACUGCUCUUGACUGGACUGUUUGUUGCUGUAUAAACUAGACAUACAGGACCCACAAGAAAAUGACUGCUGAACUUACAAAACAAGACAGUACUGAAGGGUUCCUGUUGAAAUGGAGAAGUGUGCCAGACACACUGUGGCCUAUGGCUGAAGAUGGAUGCCCCAUUAGAGAGGAACUUUGGGUGACUGUCCAGGCAGUGAGAUGUCUCUGUCAAUUCUAGAGUUUAUAUAUUAUCCUUCUGUGGUCUUUGAUAGAAUUGAAGACAGGUAGUUAUGGUUAUAGUUUUCUUCAGUUAUUAUAAAAGAUAAGUUAUCCUUUUAUUUAGACAGAAAAGAGGAGAUGAUGGGGAAUGUACUGUGUAUGUUUAUCUUAUUGAUUGUUGAAUAAAAUACUGUUUGGCCAAUGAGACAGCAAGUUAGACGGAACUAGGAGUCAAAGAGGAUUCUGGGAGAUGUAGUAGAGAAGUGGUGGUCUAGGCAGGAAGUGACAUAUUUGAGCGAGGAGAAACGGGAAGUUUUCUCUUUUUUCCCCUCGGCUCCUGCUCCAGUGGCACCAUGUGAUCCACCGACAAGGAGGGAAGCCAAUAAGGUGUCCGAUAAGAUAAGUCUUAUAAAAUAUAUGUUUAUGAUAAUUGAGACUGAGCUAACAGAUGAGGAAUCCUAGUCAUUGGCCAAGCAGCAUUGUACCUAAUACAAGUUUCUGUGUAUUCAUUUGGGCCCUAACUCCAGCAGGCGGCUGGCGUAAAGCUCACACGUGGUGGUGGUGGGGCUCAGGCAGCUUAUGGUGGAAAGAUUUGUCGUAACAGGACUCCACCCAAACUGAUGGACUAAUGCAGGUGCCAUGAGAACAGGGAAAUUAUCCCAGGAGUGAGUUCCUGAUGAAGGGAUGAAUUCACCCCCAUUUCUAGCAUUUCACCGUGGAUGACAGACACAAGAGGUACCCUCUCCAGGUGGUGCCUUGAUUUUAGAGUUCCAGAGUUUCAGAAUUAUUUGUAAUACAUACACCGCAGGGUAGGUAAUUUAUAGAGAAACUGUGUGUGUGUGUGUGUGUGUGUGUGUGUGUGUGUACACAUAUAUUUAAUAUGCAUUUGUGUGUACAUAUAUAUUCUAUACAGAAAACACAAAAUAUGAAGCUAAGUAUAAAGAAUAAGCAUUUAGAACUGGAUGUUUCAUUUUAUAUUUUCAGUUUUGUUUUAGAUUUAUAUGUUUCAUCAUUUUCGGGGUAUGAAGGUUUUGUAUGUAAGUACAUCACUCACAUGCAUGGUACCCACAGAGGUCAGAAGAGGGCAUCAUUUCCCCUGAAACUGGAGUCACAGUAAUGUGGGUGGACAUACCCUCAAUCUCCACAUCUCUCUACUUCCUUUUAUGUUCCUACAACUUUGUGUAGCUUUUUUUGGGGGGGGGCUAAAAUAAAGAUUUGAGAACAAAAUAAUGCAUAUAAAGUUCUUACAUUACGGAAUGUAAAUAAGACAUGUUGAAGUAC